GGAUUCCCUUAGUAACUGCGAGUGAAGAGGGAAAAGCUCAAAUUUAAAAUCUGGCAGCAUUUUGUUGUCCGAGUUGUAACCUAGAGAAGUGUAACCUGUGCUGGACCGUGUAUAAGUUUCCUGGAAUGGAGCAUCACAGAGGGUGAGAAUCCCGUCUUUGACAUGGACUACCAGUGCAUUGUGGUUGUGCUCUCAACGAGUCGAGUUGUUUGGGAAUGCAGCUCUAAAUGGGUGGUAAAUUCCAUCUAAAGCUAAAUAUUGGCGAGAGACCGAUAGCGAACAAGUACCGUGAGGGAAAGAUGAAAAGAACUUUGGAAAGAGAGUUAAACAGUAUGUGAAAUUGUUGAAAGGGAAACGUUUGAAGUCAGUCGCGUUAGCUGGGGAUCAGCCUGACAUUGUUGGGUGCACUUCCUGGUUGACGGGCCAACAUCAGUUUUGACUGCCAGAAAAAGGCCAAGGGAAUGUGGCACCUUUGGGUGUGUUAUAGCCUUUGGUCAUAUAUGGUGGUUGGGACUGAGGAAUGCAGUGUGCCGAAAGGCCGGGUUUCGACCACGUUCACACUGAGGAUGUUGGCAUAAUGGCUUUAAGCGACCCGUCUUGAAACACGGACCAAGGAGUCUAACAUGCAUGCGAGUGUUUGGGUGGAAAACCCUUACGCGUAAUGAAAGUGAAAGUUGAGAUCCCUGUCAUGGGGAGCAUCGACGCCCGGACCAGAACUUUUGGGACGGAUCUGCGGUAGAGCACGUAUGUUGGGACCCGAAAGAUGGUGAACUAUGCCUGAAUAGGGUGAAGCCAGAGGAAACUCUGGUGGAGGCUCGUAGCGAUUCUGACGUGCAAAUCGAUCGUCAAAUUUGGGUAUAGGGGCGAAAGACUAAUC
rnacentral:rRNA from 1 species